rnacentral:lncRNA from 1 species
AAAAAAACAAACCAACGAUAAAUGUUGAAAAGAUUAACAGUGAUGAAAUAACAUUGAAGGUAUAUUUUGAAGAUGUGUAUACUCAGAGUGGUGAUGUAUUUAAGUGUACAUUGGAAUUAAUAGGCCCAAGUAAAUAUAUAGGGAAUAUAAAAAUAGAUUAUAUUGUUAUAUAUAUAUAUGGGGUAUACAUAUUAAAUAGUAAUAUACUAAAUGUGUGCUCUCCAUAUUUAUUAAAUAAACAGAUAAACAUUAAUACACCUUUUUAUAACAAAAAUGAUAUAACAAAUAAACAAAAGUAUUUAUUAUUUUAUUCUGAUCCUAUAUUGUUAUGUAGUGAUCUAAAAUUUGAAAAUUCAAAUGAAAAAUUCUAUUACUCGUUUGAAUGUUUUUUACCAUCGUUUAUUCCACCAGCAUAUAAUGGAAAAAAUAUAAAAAUAAAAUAUUAUAUGUACAUACAAUCUAUAAAAAGGUUAUUUAUGAAUAGAACUGAAGCCAUAACCAAAAUAAACGAAGGAAACAUACCCAUUAAUGUAGUAGCAUCAAAAUAUAAUAACAAUAGUAGUAGUAGUAAUAAUAAUAAUAAAAAAACUCAUUUAUUGUCUUUUUUGCAUUAUCCUAUUAAACCAUAUAAUAUUAAACUGGUUAAUAAAUUGAAUGAUGACUUUUUAUUUGCACACAAGUAUCAGUAUCCACAUGAAGGAAACUACGAUAAUCAACUUUACCAAAAAUACGAAUAUGACAGAACCAAUAAACAACAUGAACAAUACAUAAAAUAUAAAUACCUUUACCACAAUUUUCGUAUGAAAGUUACCAAUAUUGGUAAUAAAAACGUAGUAGUAGGUACAAAUGAAAAGAGUAAACAGAGCAGUGUCACUGCUACUGCUACUGCUACUGCCACUGCCACUGCUACUGCCACUGCUACUAAUGAUGCGACCUACAUGAAUAACAACACCCAGAUGACUUUCAAACAUUCUUCCAUUCCUUCAUAUAUAUAUAACAAUAUAUACAAGUCAAAUAUAGACGUUUUGGUUUGCAUUUAUAAUAUGUGUAAUCAAAAAAAAGAACAAUCGCCAUAUUUCUAUAUGCUAAACUAUAUAGUUAAUAAUUAUAAUUACUUUUAUUACUUACAUGUAUUUCUUUUUUUAUUAUAUCAUUAUUACUAUUAUAACAAUGUAAUACAAAAAAUUAUUAUUGUACCUUCUCAAAAUAAAAAUUUAACAUUAGAGUUAUAUCUUAAAAUCAUAAAAAAAAUGAACUAUUAUAAAAAUGAAAAGUUAAUUAAUCGUACGAAUGACAUUCUAUAUGCUGGGACGUUUUGUGACGACCGUACAUUUCCCAAAUUGCUACUUCCAUCGUCGUUAUGUAAGUCUUUAAAUGAAGGAUUAGUCUAUAUAAAUUCAAAAACGAAAAUUCCAGUACUAGUAAAAAAUAAAAGCAUAAAAAACGAAAAGAAAACAAAUAAUAACAAUAAUAAUAAUAAUAACAAUAAUAAUAAUAACAAUAAUAAUAAUAACAANNNNNNNNNNAACAAUAAUAAUAAUAACAAUAAUAAUAAUAACAAUAAUAAUAAUAAUAACAAUAAUAAUAAUAAUAACAAUAAUAAUGAUUGUGAUGAUAAAAAAUACAUUAACACUAAUAAAACAAAAGAUAAUUAUAACAAUAAUACAGCUGCAAGGAAUAAAAAAAAGGUAUAUACACAUACAAAUUCACAAAAUGGGUUAAAUAAUUAUAUAUUACAUGAUGAUAACGAAUUAUAUGAUUUUUUUUUUUGCAAAUAUGACGAAUUUUGUUUUAAUAAUAUAAAGUAUGUUCCUACUAGAUGGUUUGAUAAUUUGGUUAUAAAGAAAUGUGACUAUUCCCAUGACGAUGACAAAAUGCAGGCAGUACAGGAAGUUACGAUGGGUACUGCUUCUGGAGAGUCAGACGGGUUAGACGAGUCAGACGGGUUAGACGAGUCAGACGGGCUAGACGAGUCAGACGGGCUAGACGAGUCAGACGGGCUAGACGAAUCAGACAAGUCACUCGUUAUAUCGAACAAAACUGAUACAAUAAACACAACUAUUUUACCAAACAUAAAAAAUCACACCCCCAACAUAAUGACCACACAUAAUAAUGAAAAUCCCCAUACCAACACACAAAACAACAGUUUUUUAACUAUAAAAAAUACAACUAAAAUAAAUAAAAAAUCAGAUUCGAAUGGUAGACCAAAUAAACAAGUAACGUAUUAUGAUAAAGAAGUCGAAAAAAUGGAUAUAAUAAUAAAAAAUAUGUACAAAAAAAACUUAUUUAACUAUUUUAACACAAAAAAAAAAAUAAAGACAUUAUUAUCUGUACAUAGUGGUAAUACAAGUAGCAUCGAAAAAAAAGAAUAUAACGAUGGAAUCAAACAAAAUAUGCAAAAUAAGGAAAAUAAAAAAAUAAAAAAACAUGACAAAAACGUUUAUCGAAUUAAUAUGAAUAAUAAACAUAUUUGUUUAGUCACUCUUCUUGAUGGUAUGAAUAACAGAGUAACAAAUACAUUCCCUUCAGAUGGUGUUAUAAACAUUAAGUUUCAUUUUAAACAAAUAGACAUAUAUACAAUACAUGUUGAUAUAUGCUUAAAUAGAAAAGAAAAAAUUAAAAUAAAUAAUAACUUUUUGAAAUUAAUAAAAAAUAAUGCACUUGGUGAAGGUGAUGUUUUAGAAUAUGACCAGGAGCAAGAGCAGGAGCAGGAGCAGGAGCAGGAGCAGGAGCAGGAGCAGGAGCAGGAGCAGGAACAGGACCAGGACCAGUUCCAGGACCAGUUCCAGGACCAGUUCCAGGACCAUGAUGAUAAUAAAACAUUAGAACCUGCAUCUCCACCGACUUCAGAACCAGAAACAACAACAGCGACUCGCUUUGAACCUAUCACUCCAUAUAACACCAUAUCAAAUAAAAAAACACUUUUACAAAAAAAUAUAUCUACAUUAUAUUGUUCUGAAAAAAACGUAAAUAUUAUUUUAAAUGAUGAAAUAAUACCAACUUUUCAAAGUGAUGUACUACAAAUUGAAUAUUUUAUUGAUAUCAAUUUUUUUUGUAUGAACAGUCAAGCAAAAAAUAUGUUAGAUCUUUUUACAAAUAAUCAAAACUUUAACAAUGUUUAUAGUCUAAACAUUUGUAUUCCUAUUAAUGUUGUACAAAAACAAUACGAUAACUUAAAUCAUCAAAAUGAUACAGUCCCAUAUAUAUCUCUUUCGAAACAGGGCCAUUCAGAAAUAAACAAACACAUGUCUUCUUUAAAUAACAAGCAUAAGUAUACCUAUAUUGAUAAAAAUAUUCUUAUUAAAACUUAUGAAGUGUAAUAAUGUUCUCAGUGCAUGUAAACCAAAUGAAGAGCAAUUCUGUGAGUGUUAAAUGUUGAAGAGUGGUCA